rnacentral:rRNA from 1 species
UUAAGCGACUAAGCGUACACGGUGGAUGCCCUGGCAGUCAGAGGCGAUGAAGGACGUGCUAAUCUGCGAUAAGCGUCGGUGAGGUGAUAUGAACCGUUAUAACCGGCGAUUUCCGAAUGGGGAAACCCAGUGUGUUUCGACACACUAUCAUUAACUGAAUCCAUAGGUUAAUGAGGCGAACCGGGGGAACUGAAACAUCUAAGUACCCCGAGGAAAAGAAAUCAACCGAGAUUCCCCCAGUAGCGGCGAGCGAACGGGGAGGAGCCCAGAGCCUGAAUCAGUGUGUGUGUUAGUGGAAGCGUCUGGAAAGGCGCGCGAUACAGGGUGACAGCCCCGUACACAAAAAUGCACAUAUUGUGAGCUCGAUGAGUAGGGCGGGACACGUGGUAUCCUGUCUGAAUAUGGGGGGACCAUCCUCCAAGGCUAAAUACUCCUGACUGACCGAUAGUGAACCAGUACCGUGAGGGAAAGGCGAAAAGAACCCCGGCGAGGGGAGUGAAAAAGAACCUGAAACCGUGUACGUACAAGCAGUGGGAGCCUCUUAAUGGGGUGACUGCGUACCUUUUGUAUAAUGGGUCAGCGACUUAUAUUCUGUAGCAAGGUUAACCGAAUAGGGGAGCCGAAGGGAAACCGAGUCUUAACUGGGCGUUAAGUUGCAGGGUAUAGACCCGAAACCCGGUGAUCUAGCCAUGGGCAGGUUGAAGGUUGGGUAACACUAACUGGAGGACCGAACCGACUAAUGUUGAAAAAUUAGCGGAUGACUUGUGGCUGGGGGUGAAAGGCCAAUCAAACCGGGAGAUAGCUGGUUCUCCCCGAAAGCUAUUUAGGUAGCGCCUCGUGAAUUCAUCUCCGGGGGUAGAGCACUGUUUCGGCAAGGGGGUCAUCCCGACUUACCAACCCGAUGCAAACUGCGAAUACCGGAGAAUGUUAUCACGGGAGACACACGGCGGGUGCUAACGUCCGUCGUGAAGAGGGAAACAACCCAGACCGCCAGCUAAGGUCCCAAAGUCAUGGUUAAGUGGGAAACGAUGUGGGAAGGCCCAGACAGCCAGGAUGUUGGCUUAGAAGCAGCCAUCAUUUAAAGAAAGCGUAAUAGCUCACUGGUCGAGUCGGCCUGCGCGGAAGAUGUAACGGGGCUAAACCAUGCACCGAAGCUGCGGCAGCGACACUAUGUGUUGUUGGGUAGGGGAGCGUUCUGUAAGCCUGUGAAGGUGGCCUGUGAGGGUUGCUGGAGGUAUCAGAAGUGCGAAUGCUGACAUAAGUAACGAUAAAGCGGGUGAAAAGCCCGCUCGCCGGAAGACCAAGGGUUCCUGUCCAACGUUAAUCGGGGCAGGGUGAGUCGACCCCUAAGGCGAGGCCGAAAGGCGUAGUCGAUGGGAAACAGGUUAAUAUUCCUGUACUUGGUGUUACUGCGAAGGGGGGACGGAGAAGGCUAUGUUGGUCGGGCGACGGUUGUCCCGGUUUAAGCGUGUAGGCUGGUUUUCCAGGCAAAUCCGGAAAAUCAAGGCUGAGGCGUGAUGACGAGGCACUACGGUGCUGAAGUGACAAAUGCCCUGCUUCCAGGAAAAGCCUCUAAGCAUCAGGUAACAUCAAAUCGUACCCCAAACCGACACAGGUGGUCAGGUAGAGAAUACCAAGGCGCUUGAGAGAACUCGGGUGAAGGAACUAGGCAAAAUGGUGCCGUAACUUCGGGAGAAGGCACGCUGAUAUGUAGGUGAAGCGACUUGCUCGUGGAGCUGAAAUCAGUCGAAGAUACCAGCUGGCUGCAACUGUUUAUUAAAAACACAGCACUGUGCAAACACGAAAGUGGACGUAUACGGUGUGACGCCUGCCCGGUGCCGGAAGGUUAAUUGAUGGGGUUAGCGGUAACGCGAAGCUCUUGAUCGAAGCCCCGGUAAACGGCGGCCGUAACUAUAACGGUCCUAAGGUAGCGAAAUUCCUUGUCGGGU